rnacentral:rRNA from 1 species
CACGUAGGGUGCGAGCGUUGUCCGGAAUUAUUGGGCGUAAAGAGCUCGUAGGCGGCUCGUCGCGUCGACCGUGAAAACCCGCGGCUUAACCGCGGGCUUGCGGUUGAUACGGGCGGGCUAGAGUUCGGUAGGGGAGACUGGAAUUCCUGGUGUAGCGGUGAAAUGCGCAGAUAUCAGGAGGAACACCGGUGGCGAAGGCGGGUCUCUGGGCCGAUACUGACGCUGAGGAGCGAAAGCGUGGGGAGCGAACAGG